GACAAGGUGGCCGAGUGGUUAAGGCGCCAGACUAAGGAACGUGGAUUUCUGUGUAAUUCUGGGCCAAGGCAGAUUCUGCCCAUUCAUCCAUCUGGUCCGAAAGGACGUGGGUUCGAGUCCCAUCCUUGUCA